UGAGAAUUAAAUGAGACAAUGAGGGCUAAGUGCUUAGCACAGUGCCUGUCCUAACAAAUGCUUGCUAUUUGUACUCUUCUUCUUUUUUUUUUUUUUUUUACAAAAAAAAUCACCACAUGUGUGUCUUCAGGGGACUCAGAGUUUUGUGUUUAUAUUCAUUUUAUUCUUUAAGCACCUACUGUCUGCCAGAUACUGGAUGGUUGAAGUGGAGCAUAAAGAUGGAAGGUUCCUAUCCUAAGAUAGAAAGCCAAUACACAUGGACCAACAUGUCCUGAGGACCUAAGCCUAAGAAUCUUCAAGAUGGAAGAGUAGAGUGAGCAACGAAUGAGCCAGAGGGCUCUUGUCCUCUGUGUGCAACUCUGGGCAGACAGCAGGUGGAUAUGGGACUUGGCCUGCUGGAGGGGCCCUGGCAAGAGGAGCUGGCAGGAGCAGAUGGCAAAGCAUUCCUUCUUUCUGGACAUGGGGCAGGAGAAGACAAAACUGGCUACAGUGAUCACAUCAGUUUCCAGGGCCAUUUAUACUUCCUUACACCCUUCCCUAGGAAGAGUGACGUGUAAGUGAGGCCUGCAUAUCACAAAUGGUGUAAGAGAUUGUAAGAGUUAGUUUGCAAUGAUGUGAAAAUGAAUUUUUAUUUUACUAGUCUUGUUUUACUUCAGUGUAUGUUAGAAAAAAAUAUUACUAGCAUAUCAAACCACUGAUUCACAAUAGUGAUAUAAAUUUCUUUAAAAAUCUUAUAAAAUCUUGCCAUUGUUCCAAAAGCUAUGGCUUUGAUGAGAUAGCUAAAGAUGGGGAUAAAGUUUUAUCCAUGUUUCCAUCUCUAGAGCAAGAAUGGCAAAUUCAAAUGCCCAAAGGGAGCAGACAAAUCACUUUGGGAAGUGGGGUGGUGGGGGCUAGGACUGGACAACCUGCCUAGCCUGUGCCCUCUCUGCAUGAGGCAGAGCUAUUCAUCUCAAGCUGGGAGUGACCCUUGGACAAUUCAAGACUGGUGCCAACCAGAUGAAUCUCUUCCCAGAAAAGUUAAAAACUCAGAUUUGAUGUGAAACCUCGCGGUUUUGAAACACUGGUAAUGAAUGCAAAUAUUUAAAUGUAAACACUGCGGAUCUGCUGACCCAUGUCUGCAAGCUGCUGAGGCCUGUGGCCCACACGUUUGCAGUCGCACUGUAGGACCCAGCAUGGCAUCCUGCACUCCAUCGUGGACACCUCAGAAGUCUUUGCUGAGACAAUGAAUGAUGUCUUAAUCUCUCUGCCAAUAUCUGAGGAGACCAUCUGGGAGGUUCAUUAAGAAAUGGCUGCAAAUUCUUUUCUGUUCUUUCCAUAGAGAGACAGGGCCUAUGUCCUGUCCUCUCCCUCGUACUAGGUAAGCUCUGACUGCUUGAUCAAUUGACUGUGGUGGAAGUGACACUGUGCUGCCUAAAGCGAAUGAAGCUUCCACUUCCUGUCUUUUAGAAUACUUGUCGUGAGGGGAGCUAGCUCUAUGAAAAGUCCAACUUCCCUGACAAUGCCUAAAGACCAGGUGCAGGUGCUCUAACUGGUAGUCCCAGCUGAGCUCAGCCUCCCGGCCACCCCUGCCAAGGUCCCAGACAUAUGAACGAUGCUGCCUUCGACUAUCCAGAACAGCCCAUCUGCCAGCUGAGGACUGCCGUAUGCACUUCAUGCCUUGAAGAACAAAAGAAUUGCCCAGCUGAGCCCUGUGUGAAUUCCUGACUCACACAAUUGUGAGG
rnacentral:lncRNA from 10 species